rnacentral:rRNA from 1 species
GACGAACGCUGGCGGCGUGCUUAACACAUGCCAGUCGAACGGAAAGGCCCUUCGGGGUACUCGAGUGGCGAACGGGUGAGUAACACGUGGGUGAUCUGCCCUGCACUUUGGGAUAAGCCUGGGAAACUGGGUCUAAUACCGAAUAUGAUCAUCGGCUUCAUGGUCGGUGGUGGAAAGCUUUUGCGGUGUGGGAUGGGCCCGCGGCCUAUCAGCUUGUUGGUGGGGUAAUGGCCUACCAAGGCGACGACGGGUAGCCGGCCUGAGAGGGUGACCGGCCACACUGGGACUGAGAUACGGCCCAGACUCCUACGGGAGGCAGCAGUGGGGAAUAUUGCACAAUGGGCGCAAGCCUGAUGCAGCGACGCCGCGUGAGGGAUGACGGCCUUCGGGUUGUAAACCUCUUUCAGCACAGACGAAGCGCAAGUGACGGUAUGUGCAGAAGAAGGACCGGCCAACUACGUG